rnacentral:misc_RNA from 1 species
AAAUGCGAUAAGUAAUGUGAAUUGCAGAAUUCAGUGAAUCAUCGAAUCUUUGAACGCACCUUGCGCUCCUUGGUAUUCCUUGGAGCAUGCCUGUUUGAGUAUCAUGAAAUCUUCAAAGUAAAUCUUUUGUUAACUCAAUUGGUUUCUACUUUGGUAUUGGAGGUCUUUGCAGCUUCACACCUGCUCCUCUUUGUUCAUUAGCUGGAUCUCAGUGUUAUGCUUGGUUCCACUCGGCGUGAUAAGUUAUCUAUCGCUGAGGACACUGUAAAAGGUGGCCAAGGUAAAUGCAGAUGAACCGCUUCUAAUAGUCCAUGGACUUGGACAAUACUUUUAUGAUCUGAUCUCAAAUCAGGGAGGACUACCCGCUGAACUUAAGC